CUAGACACGAGACAUGGUUUGCUUCUGUCAUGGUCCCUGUGCCUCACCAGCUGAUCCUGUUUUAGGCAACAUGUGUUGUUGUUGUUUUCUCUCUCUCUCUCUCUCUCUCACCUGCCGGGGCGGUGCUCAUUAUGGGCUCCCGCCCCUGGCCCACGCACCUGCUGCCUAUCGGGGUGAUCGCAAGGCUUAUUUAAGACAGCAGCGCUGUGCCACUCGUCGCUGGAUUGUUGAGCUAUCAGCAUCUACCCCGGACCUUUCCCUGCCUGCCUGUUAUCGUGUGGAUGAGUGAGUGGAUUUGUGUUGCCCCGUUGUGGAGAGAGAAGAGAGAGCCAUUGGAGUGUGUCUGAUUCCCGUCCUUCCCUUCACAUGCCCCGGAACCCUGGACCCCCCUCCCCUCCCUCCAGCACGUUGUAAAUAGUAUCACCUGGUGUCGUUUGUACUAAUAAACUGUCAACUCUGCUAGGAUUCCCGU